rnacentral:rRNA from 1 species
CAUACAAGUGGUAGAGAAGCGAAAGCGGAUCGACCCUUCGGGAGCUUGUACAGGUGCUGCAUGGCUGUCGUCAGCUCGUGUCGUGAGAUGUUCGGUUAAGUCCGCUAACGAGCGCAACCCUCGCUGUGUGUUACAAGUGUCACACGGAACUGCCGGUCAUAAACCGGAGGAAGUGGGAUGACGUCAAGUCAGCAUGGCCUUUAUAUCCUGGGCUACACACACGCUACAAUGGGAAGGGACAAUAGGUUGCGAAGCCGCGAGGUGGAGCCAAUCCAGCAAAACUUCCCUCAGUUCAGAUUGCAGGCUGCAACUCGCCUGCAUGAAGUUGGAGUUGCUAGUAAACGCAGGUCAGCCAUACUGCGUUGAAUACGUUCCCGGGGCUU